rnacentral:rRNA from 1 species
CCCUUAGAUGUUCUGGGCCGCACGCGUGCUACACUGAGUGGAUCAGCGGGUCAGGUUGCGCGAAAGUGUUUCCUAAUCUUGAAAUCCGCUCGUGAUGGGGAUUGACGGUUGCAAUUUUCUGUCAUGAACGAGGAAUACCUUGUAAGCGCGGGUCAUCAUCCCGCGCUGAAUACGUCCCUGCCCUUUGUACACACCGCCCGUCGCUACUACCGAUUGAAUGGCUUAGUGAGGCCUCAGGAUCCGCGCUUAAUGUGUGGAGAAUUUGGACAAACUACGUCAUUUAGAGGAAGUAAAAGUCGUAACA